GAAAUAAACGAAUGCCACGGGAAUCCCUGUCACCAUGGAACUUGCACUGAUGGAAUAGCUUCUUACAGUUGUAGUUGUUAUGCAGGAUACACUGGAAAUAACUGUGACAGAGGUUGUAUAACUUGUCUUAUAGUGUCUUAUUAAACCAACCACAGCUCGACAUGAACAUGUUUGAGUAGACCGAUUAAUACAAAUAUCGUAAAAUAACGUCAACAGAUUGUACUACCGAUUGUUUCUUGCAACUUUAUAAAUAAUUUACAUGUCGUUUAACAUUACUUUCAUAUCGAGGUAAUGUAUGUAAUAUUUGUUUUAUGCACAAUCCUUUAAUGUCAUGCAAAAGUAGCUUAGUCAUAUUUGAAAGAAAUUUUGUAACCUCUGUUUCAUUUUUCUGUGAAAAACAACAAAUAAUAAAAACAAUCGGAGACAAUUCUAUUUUUUAAAUCAAAAAUCAUACAUAGAGACGUUAGUACAAUUAAAAAAUAUCCAAACCACGACGCAAAGAUAUACAUAAAAUAAAAAUAGUAAUUUGCGAUAUGAACUGACACAACUCUAAAAUUCCAAAAUGACGAGAGUCGAUAUGUUACAACAACUGCGUGAAAAUACAUUCCCAAUACACAGCUCUGACGGUGGUAUAAUAUUUUCAAUUUGACAAUAUAUAAGCACGUCUGAACCAGUGACGACUCUAUAACAGAUUUUAUUCAUCAGAUCACCAGCAGUGAUGGUGAUACAAGGCUAUAAGUACAAUCUGUCUAUAUAAUUCGUCUAAAAAACAUCCCAACAAUGUUUGAUUUGUAAAUUUGCGAAAGGUCAAGCGCGUCAGCCAUAGUGCAAGGCGAUAUGGUUCCACGGUAACUCAGAAGCAUUAGAUCGAAAUCCGGCCAGGGAAGGACAGCAAAUUUAAAUCCGCAAAUUUACAGAUCAAACAUUAUCGCACCGCGGGUGAAUUAUCACAUUAUGAUUGAUUUAACGCCGUUACUCGGUGACCCCCUUUGAGACCGUAGGAAGUAGUUAAUUUCAUAGGGGGUUCAUGACGAGGUAAUGGUGACGUCAUCUAUUAAUGUUCUUGUGUUUCAUUGUUUAUUUUUCAACAAAACGCAGCAGAAAAGGUCCAGCGAUAAUUUCGUUUGAUUGUGGCAUAACAUCGUGGCCACAAGUUAAAUUUCUUUUCUGUUUAGUAUUAAAUUUAUAUUAAGAUCCAUUUUGUUACAUCUGUUGUAGGGUUGUCACUGACUCAGACGUACUUAUAAAUAUAAUUAUACCCCAUGAAACGGGUUGCGGAGGGUAUAUUGUUUUUGACCCGUCCGUCCGUCCGUCAGUUCGUCCGUCCGUCAGUCCGUCCGUCAGUCCGUCCGUCAGUCCGUCCGUCAGUCCUGUUUCUUGUCAUCGCAACUCCUCUCAAACCACACAACAGAAUUUCACGAAACCUUUUCAGAUAAUAAGGACAUACUAUGUAGUUGUGCAUAUCGACGGGAAAUUGCGAUUCAAUUUUUUUCUAGGAGUAAUACGCCCCUUUGAACUUAUUUACUUUAAUGUACUACUGCAACAGUUUGUCAUCGCAACUCCUCUCAAACCACACAACCGAAUUUCACGAAACCUUUUCAGAUAAUAAGGACAUACUAUGUAGUUGUGCAUAUCGACGGGAAAUUGCGAUUCAAUUUUUUUUCUAGGAGUUACACCCCUUUGAACUUAUUUACUUUAAUGUAUACUAUUGCAACAGUUUGUCAUCGCAACUCCUCUGAAACUACACAACAGAAUUUCAUGAAACCUUUUAAGAUAAUAAGGACAUACUAUGUAGAUGUGCAUAUCAACAGGAAAUUACGAUACAUUUUUUUCUAGGUGUUACGCCCCUUUGAACUUAUUUGUUUCAAUGUACUUCUGCAACAGUUUGUCAUCUCAACUCCUCUCAAACCACACAACAGAAGUUCAUGAAAUUUUGAAGAUAAUAAGGACAUACUAUGUAGAUGUGCAUAUUGGCAGGAAAUUAUUAUUCAAUAUUUUUUCUUACACUUAUUUAAUUUCUCCAAUGACGAUGUGGGGACGUGGGGUAUGUGAGCGUGCUCACUAAGGUUCUUUAAUUAUUUUCUGUGACUGUAUCUUACAUUAAUUUGUAGGAUCCUUUACUAUAGAUAAUUUAGCUGAUCUGUAACAAUAACAUCUUCAUGCAUUAUAUAUCAUGUACUGCAGUACGCCGCUAGAUUAAAACUGACGUGGAAAGGUAACACACGGCCAGCGAAAGCUCUAUUUUUAAGAGCCCAGGUGGUCGUGUGGUCUAGCGGGACGGCUGCAGUGCAGGCGAUUUGGUGUCACAAUAUCACAGUAGCAUGGGUUCGAAUCCCGGCGAGGGAAGAACCAAAAAUUUGUGAAAGCAAAUUUACAGAUUUAACAUUGUUGGGUUGAUGUUUAGACGAGUUGUAUAUACAUUAUGUACACAGCCAUGUAUCACCAUCAUUGAUGGCGAUCCGAUGGAUACAUCUGUUGUAGGGUUGUCACUGACUCAGACGUACUUAUAAAUAUAAUUAUUUUCUGUGACUGUAUCUUACAUUAAUUUGUAGGAUCCUUUACUAUAGAUAAUUUAGCUGAUCUGUAACAAAAACAUCUUCAUGCCUUAUAUAUCAUGUACUGCAGUACGCCGCUAGAUUAAAACUGACGUGGAAAGGUAACACACGGCCAGCGAAAGCUCUAUUCUUAAGAGCCCAGGUGGUCGUGUGGUCUUGCGGGACGGCUGCAGUGCAGGCGAUUUGGUGUCACGAUAUCACAGUAGCAUGGGUUCGAAUCCCGGCGAGGGAAGAACCACAAAUUUGUGAAAGCAAAUUUACAGAUCUAACAUUGUUGGGUUGAUGUUUAGACGAGGAAUAUAUAUAUAUAUAUUACCAAUGCGACGACCAAUUCACCGACGAAAUGAGAAUUAAUAAAGACAAUAUGUUUAUACAAAAGUACAAACCAACCAUAAACAGAUAAGACGUUACUUUUGUAAGGGUUACGUCCUUUUAAUGCUUUGUUACAUACUUAUUAUCGUGACGUUACGUUACCAUUAGUUAAAUUCAUCCAUGAUUAUCACAAAGAUGUGAAACCAGUUGGAGAAAAAUGUAGAAAAUUAAAAGACUUUAGGAGCAUUUUUUAAUUCAAUCUUAUUUAUAUUUUCACUAGUGUGGACACAGAAUUCAAUUUUAGGUAUAUGUAUUUAUAUAUACUCUAAAGAUCAAGUCUGAUUAUUCAAAACUAGCUUUUUUCUCCUAAGAUGGCGAAUAAAUGAUAAAAAAAAAAAAAAUUCUUGAAAAUAAGUGUAAUGAAACAGUUUCUCAGAUAUAUAUAUAUAUAUGUACACAUCAGUUAUUUAUUAUCUACCUAGAAAUCAACGAAUGUGCUAGUAGUCCAUGUCAGAACUCUGGAGUCUGUCACGAUUAUAUAAAUCGGUAUUCAUGUACCUGUAUAUCUGGUUAUACCGGAACUAAUUGUGAAAUAGGUAAAUAUAUGUUCAAUUAUAUUUUUUUUUUAAAUCUGCACAAUUAUGAAGUUUUACAAAGAGGCUUAAAACAAGGCAAUAGUCGUCACAUAUAUCCAUAAAAAAUAAUAAAAACUGACGAAAUUGCACGCUCUUCAACAUGCGCGGAACAAGGCAUGUAGGGGAAUUAUCUGCUUUGCAUACAUCGCAUACCUUGCAAAUCUACUCUUAGUCAAAAUGUCACAACAGGGAUUACAACAAAUAAUGUUACAUGUAUAACAGAUGUUUUUACUAAUAACUUAAAACGCAACAUUAUGUAGCAAACGAGAUGAGCCACAUAUUCACAGAAUUAAGUCAUGUUACCACGUAACUGUUCGAGCACCAACUUGUUAAUUCCAUAAACAUGCACGAGCGUGACGUAAUAAUAAAGAUAUUAUCAAUGUCAUUGACGGAGCAGACGGUGUGUUAAUUUCCAAACUUUUUGUCUCUUGUUUUACAGGCGAACGCCGUUUUAGAAAGAAAUGUUGUGAGCAUAGUAAUAAAAAAUAUACGUUUUUUUUUUCUAUCGUCGUUACUUAUAGACUUUCAGUUCCUGUUGUAUCAAUCAGUCAAAACCUAGUGCUUUGUUACUUGCAUACUAUUAUACGUUGACGUAAAGUUGACGAUAAUUCGGUUAUUCAAAAACAUCUAUUAUUGACUUUCCUUACUUUAGUAUGAUAAAUUUUCCAGAUACUAUUAUUACUUCAAAAAAACAUAUUUGGUGUUUUAUCAAAAGAGAGUAAUGGUAAUAAUGUUGUGCUGUUAGGUAUGAUUUAAGAUCAAUUAUAUCAAUAUUCAAAACAAUUACUGAUUCUUUUGCAACAAAUGUAUUUGCAGAUAUCGAUGACUGUGCAAGCAACCCAUGUCAACAUAACGGAAGAUGCAUAGACCAUCUUAGUAGUUACACAUGCUCGUGUAAUGUGGGAUAUACUGGCAAACAUUGCGAAAUGAGUUAGUAUGAUAUAUACAUGCAUAUGUGUGUCUUUGUCAAAUGUGUGUUCUUACAAAGAAAUGGUAUCUACAAACGACAAUCUGUGUUAUUUCAUUUAACUGUUCUUUAAAAAUUGUAUAUUGGAUGGGAAGGUUUGUGAUAUGAUUACACUGGUAGUGUGGCAACUUAGUAUUAUAUUGUUUUAAACUUUGAUUUUUUUGCUGACGUUCUGUAUCAGUCGGUGAUUUAUAUCAGAACAUCCUUUUUCUAUCAACCAUUUAUCCAAUAUGGAAAGAACAACUAAGAACAUAUGAUGUUGUAGCACUAUUGAACAAGAGAAGAGAUCUAGUGUUCAAUAUUAAGCAGAAUUCAUAUGAAACGGCUAGCACUUCGCUGUCUAACUAAAAACAUCGGUCAACAAAGACUAUUUAAAAUCAGCAACAUCUAAGAAUAAUCAAUCCAAAUAAUUCACAUGUGUUUUUGUUUCUGUCCUACAACAUAAAGUUAAAAAUUUCGGAGACAUUACGAGUUUAAACAAUCGAUGUUUCCUAACUUAACGUGUACCAAAAAUAAUCAAGACAUAAUAUUAUCUAAUCAAAUUAUACUACAGCUUUCCAUUUUAGACAUAGAAUGUCAUAGUAAUCCAUGUCAGAACGGAGGGAUCUGUACAGACGCCCAAACUACUGGUCAUACGUGUCACUGUCCAGGGUUUACUGGAAACAACUGUGAAAAAGGUAUAACAAAUAUGACAGACAUGAACUAACAAAAACCAAUUAAUAACAAGCUUAUGAUUUAAAAUAUGGACUUGAAGAAUGUGAUAGAACUAAAUAUGUUUCUGAGCUAUAAACCUUUGCUCCAACCUCAAACCAAGUGACAAUGAUGUAACAGCACAAAAUAGGAGCAAACUACAAUAAUAUGUUGCAUACGCUAAACAAAAAAGAUCGGCAAAAGCAUCCUAACCCAUUAUAAAUAAUUCCUAUAUAAAUUGUGUUUAGUUAUAGAAUGUUUUGGGUUUUGUUUAUCAAAUUUAAACUUUAAUGUAUCUUCCUUCUUUGAAUCUUUAUAUAGAUUUCGUUAUAAUGAUCGCAAUAGAAUAGUAUGUGUUUUGUGAUACGACAAACAUACCUCAUCUUCAUUUUUAUAAUUACGUAGUUAACACAUAAAUUUCGGCAUAAUGAUUUUUUAGAUGGAUAAUACAAUAAAAUGUUUCUUUUGUUUUGAUUUCAGUCUUGCCCUGAUUCUAAACAAGAAUGAUUUAUUUUCCUUUUCAAGAUAAAAUUCUUAGAACGUAAUUAAAUGUCAACCUCUCAACAUGCACGUAGCUUUGGUUGCUAUAUAAACUCAUAAGAACAGGUAUGUUAACAGCUACAUGUAACCAUUCGAUCUUUAAUAGUUAAUAACGCCCAUACCAUAUAAUAAGAUAAAACGGACUCGGUGAACCAUUUAAAAAAAAUCACCAAUGAGCGCAUUAUGAGUGAAUAAGAUUAAGCAAAGUUCGAUAAAGACAUACGACAACUAUUGGAAUACAAAGUUGUCGAUUAAAUCCGUUUAUCAGCCUUAAAUUAUGCAAAUAUAUAUCAGUUAUUUAAUAUUGUUUUUGUCUACCUAGAAAUCAACGAAUGUGCUAGUAGUCCAUGUCAGAACUCUGGAGUCUGUCAUGAUUAUGUAAACCAGUAUCUUUGUACUUGUAAAUCUGGUUAUACAGGUCAAAACUGUGA
rnacentral:lncRNA from 1 species